GUUCCGGAAUGUAAGACGUUGGGAGUUCCACGGCCAACUUUUUUUGCGCUACGAACUAUUACAACUUUCCCGUUUUGCCCCUCGUCGCGUCUCGUCCGGUACUCCGGUCGUCCCACUCGCCCACUCGUGUAGCACACUCACCCGCUCCGCCGCCGCACCCCACGCCAUCGGUGCCCUCUUCCUCGCGCGCGUCGGCGCCGCCCCUCUUCCUCGCGCGCGAAGCUGCCGCCCCCUCUUUCUCGCACAUCCUCGCCUCUCCCAUGAUAUCCAACAAGGUGGAGCUGAAACUUGAGCUUUUACCCCUCCGGUGGUCCGAUCUGCAGUUGCGGGGCUCGAUCUGUCGAGCCAGCGUAAAGGUGGAUCUGUAGCCAUGGUGGUGGUGGUGCGGAGCUCCAUUCGUAGCAGGAGAAGACCUCCCAAAUCUUUGCAAAGGCAAGGAGGCCGGCACUGGGCUUCGGCGGCGCCACUGUCCUCGUCGUCCCCGCCUGUGUCAGCGGCUGUCGGCGGAGGCAGGGCAGAGACCGACACCUCGGCGCCGUUCGAUUCGGUGCGAGAGGCCGUCGACCGCUUCAGUGGCAGCGCCGCCUGGAGCUCCCACCUCGUCGGCCGCAUCUUCGCGCACCACAAGAAACAGGACCAGCGUGUGGUGGGGACUGAAGAGAACGAGCAAUGCAUCAGCCUGGAGGAGCAGACCGCGCAGCUAGAGAAGGAGCUCAGGGUCAAAGAAAGGGAGAUGCUCGAUGUGCUCUAGGAACUGGAGUCGGCCAAGAGGGUUAUCGCGGAUUAGAAGCUCAAUAUACACAAGAAAACAAUUGAGACACUGCAACCUGUAGAACCUGACGAGAAGCAGUAGCCUGAGGAUAACAACUGCUCUAUCGCUGAAUUGCCCACGACAGAACCUGAAGAGGAGAAGCUGUCUGCGGGAAAUGCUGAAGCUGAUGUGGAGAUGUGUGGCGGUCUCGACGAACACUCACAGCAGCAGCACCCUGACUCGGUUCUCAUGGAGCUCGAGCGGGCAAAGUCAAACCUGAACAGAACCACGAUUACUGGACUAGUAACCACAAAAGCUGAUGUCUUCAGCUGUGGUGUCAUUUUGAUGGAGCUGGUCACCGGACGGAGGGCGCUUGAUGACACGCAGCCUGAGGAUAGCAUGCACCUAGUUACAUGGUUCCGGAGAAUGACCUUGACGAGGAGACCUUUGCCAGCGUUAGCACCGUCGCACAGCUGGCCGGUCACUGCUGUGCUAGGGAACCACAACAGAGGCCUGAUAUGGGUUUGGCACUGUCUACAAGGGCGAGCUUCACGGUGGGAUAAAAAUCGCUGUCAAGCGAAUGGAGUUUGGUGUUAUGGGAAACAAGGGGCUGAAUGAGUUCAAAUCAGAGAUAUCUCUGCCGACCAAGCUCCGUCAUCGGAAUCUGGUGUCGCUGCUCCUUGAUGGUAAUGAGAGGAUUCUUGUAUAUGAGUACAUGCCACAUGGGCCGGUCAGUCAACAUCUGUUUGAGUGGAAAGAACACAAUUCACAGCCCUUGGAAUGGAAGAAACGACUGAGCACUGCCCUUGAUGUUGCGAGAGGUGUUGAGUACCUGCACAGCCUUGCACUGUCAAUCAGUGGAAGUGUGUAUCAGUGGAGACAAGACUUGCUGGCACUUUCGGAUACCUUGCCCCGGGGUAUGCAGGUGGACUAAAAUUGAUAUCUGGAAGCACCAUUCUUCUUCAGGCGCGAGGUCAACGACCUUGGGACGCGGCGAUGAGCGAGGAAGUAGUGCUUUGCCUGGCGUCCUUGUGACCUCCUUCCCCUGGCGCCUCUUUUUUUUCGAUAAAGGGCGCUUUCAUUCUUCCCCUGGCGCCUCUUGGUGACCUCCAGGCCUGGCAACUGGCUUCUGGCUAGGGGACGGCGGCGGGCUUCCAGGAACUGCAGCAGCCGACAAGCUGGGCGACGCACCAGUGGAUCGAUCGAGCGAUCGGAGCUGGAGUGCAGCUUGGCGACGAACCAGUGGAUGAUCGGACCUGGACCGGGAGUACAGCUGGGCGAGGAGACAGGGGAUUGAUCCCCGGACCUGGAGUACAACUGGGCGACGAGAUAGGGGAUCGAUCGGGAUCGGUCGGAGCUGGACGCGAAGGCGUGGAUCGGGAUUGAUUGGAGCUCCUGGAUCGAUUUCUCCUGUGGAGGAGCUGCCUGGGGGAGAAGAUGGCCGGGGUGGAUCGAUUCCGGUGGGGAGGAGCUGCCUGGGAGGAGGAGAUGGCCGGGGUGGAUCGAUUCCGGUGGGGACGAUGGGGAAAUCGAGAUCGAGAUCGAGAUCGGGAAAUCGACAGGGGUAUCGAUGUCUUUUUACAACUUUUUCACCUGGUCGGAAAACCUCCCCAGCGUCUUAUAUUUCUGCACGGAGGGAGUAGUUGUUG